rnacentral:rRNA from 1 species
AUGAACGCUGGCGGCGUGCCUAAUACAUGCAAGUCGAGCGAACAGACGAGGAGCUUGCUCCUCUGACGAUAGCGGCGGACGGGUGAGUAACACGUGGAUAACCUACCUAUAAGACUGGGAUAACUUCGGGAAACCGGAGCUAAUACCGGAUAAUAUAUUGAACCGCAUGGUUCAAUAGUGAAAGACGGUUUUGCUGUCACUUAUAGAUGGAUCCGCGCCGCAUUAGCUAGUUGGUAAGGUAACGGCUUACCAAGGCGACGAUGCGUAGCCGACCUGAGAGGGUGAUCGGCCACACUGGAACUGAGACACGGUCCAGACUCCUACGGGAGGCAGCAGUAGGGAAUCUUCCGCAAUGGGCGAAAGCCUGACGGAGCAACGCCGCGUGAGUGAUGAAGGUCUUCGGAUCGUAAAACUCUGUUAUUAGGGAAGAACAAAUGUGUAAGUAACUAUGCACGUCUUGACGGUACCUAAUCAGAAAGCCACGGCUAACUACGUG